UACAGAGGUCUCAAGCGUUGUUCGGAUUCACUGGGCGUAAAGGGUGCGUAGGUGGCGGGGUAAGUCGGAUGUGAAAUCUCCGAGCUCAACUCGGAAAUGGCAUUGGAAACUACCUUGCUCGAGGGUUGGAGGGGGGACUGGAAUACUUGGUGUAGCAGUGAAAUGCGUAGAUAUCAAGUGGAACACCAGUGGCGAAGGCGAGUCCCUGGACAACUCCUGACACUGAGGCACGAAAGCUAGGGGAGCAAACAGG
rnacentral:rRNA from 1 species